UACGUAGGGUGCAAGCGUUGUCCGGAAUUAUUGGGCGUAAAGAGCUCGUAGGCGGUCUGUCGCGUCGGCUGUGAAAACCCGGGGCUCAACCCCGGGCCUGCAGUCGAUACGGGCAGACUAGAGUGCGGUAGGGGAGACUGGAAUUCCUGGUGUAGCGGUGAAAUGCGCAGAUAUCAGGAGGAACACCGGUGGCGAAGGCGGGUCUCUGGGCCGGUACUGACGCUGAGGCGCGAAAGCGUGGGGAGCAAACAGG
rnacentral:rRNA from 1 species